AGGCUACUGUUUUGGACCUGGAAACUGCUAUUCACUAGAAGUCAGUCCCGCCUCUAACACUCUGUAAUGUGUGAGCAAAUUUCUGAGCCUCAGUUUCCCCAUCAGUCCAUUGAGAGAGAUACAGCAAGAGAAGGAACACAAGCAGGGGGAGUGGGAGAGGGAGAAGCAGACUUGCCGCCAAGCAAGGAGCCCAAUGCAGGGCUAGAUCCCAGGACCCUGGGAUUCUGACCAGAGCCGAAGGCAGAAGCUUUAUGACUGAGCCACUCAGGUGCCCCAUAAAUAUGUUUCAUUAAUGGGACUAACUAUCAUAUUAACAUUACUGCUGCCACUACUAAUGUACACUCCCUUAGUGUUGAAGUUCAUUAUAAUUUUCAAGAUAAUUUCAUAUAACCUCUCUUCAGCUGUUUAAAAGUGGAUAUUAUAUCCCCCGACUUUUUUUCAGAUAAGUUCUGCUAAUGCUUGAAAUCACUGAGAUCAGGGGUUGGCAAACUAUGGCCAGUGGACCAAAUUUGGCCCACUGUCCGAUCUCAUAAAGUUUUAUUGGAACACAAUUGCUUCCACUCAGUCAUGCAUUGUCUGUGGCCACUCUUAUGCUGCAAAGGCAGAGCUGAGAAGUUUAAGCUUAGUUUAGGUCACCUUUGAUGGCUUCAAGGCAGAGCCUGUGUGGGGUCUGAAGCUUCUGAUUCUACAGCAACUUCUAGUGAGGGAUUUCUCUCACUCUUCUCUCCAUAUAAACAUUUCUUGGUACUUAUUAUAUGCUCUUUAUCCUACUCAUUCCUCUUCUCCCCACAGCCACCCCCACUCUACACGAUCAGAACAGAAUCUCCUUGGAUCCCUGGGGUCUGUGGACUGGGGUGGCUCAGACACUCGGUGCUAUCGAUCCUGUAGGCAGAGAAUCCAGCUCUUGUGGCCCCUUCCUGCUUCCUCCCCUCCCCUGCAUGUUCCCCAAGAGCUCGCUCUGUGUGAAGCCCCAUCCGGGAAGCUGGGGAGACACCAGUGGAUGACAAGUCUUGGCCCGCAAGAUGCAGCGGGGAAGAAGAGGAUGAGAGAGUAAAGAGAUCAUGGAAAAGCCCAGUGCCUUAUCUGCUGAUGCGAAACAUUUAGCAGGUCUGGAAAGUGAAUGAAGAAGGAAUGCAGGGUCCUGGGCAUCCAGGUGGCAAUCUGGAAUUUGUGUUUUGGAGAGGAGGGUAACGGAAGGAAUGGGGGACAUGGGCUUUAGUGGGAACAUCCCGUUGGCCUGCAGACUCUGAGGAAGGCUUCGGAGAAAGGAGGGCAGAGACAGACCCUGUUUAGAGCAGAGCCCAGGAAAGAAGCCCAAGGGCAAGGAUGGGGCCAUGUCACCAGACCAGGUCUGGCGGUGGCAAGCCUGGAGACAAGGUCAUUUAAAGGGCUGCUGUUAUAGCUCAUGGGGCAUCCAUGCUGGUCUGAACCAAGAUGGAGGAGACAGGGCUGAAGAGGGAGAAGAGCUCAGGAGGAGGAAGUGAUAGGUGGGAUCGUCCUAGCUGCUGCUGUGGUCUCGACCUUGCUGACUCUGAUCAGGUCACACGGGGCAGCUAAACAGGCUGUACGACCCACCCUGGGGCAGACCCUGGACCUGGAGGAUUAUAGAAUGGGAAAUAUAAGGUUCUAAUUUAAGUACGUAUCCCUGUGAGGAAUGAGAUCCUAAGGCAGGCUAUGGAUCAGCCAGUGGAAGAGGGUAGGAAUGGGAGGCAGAAGAGCACAGGUAGGAACAACGUUCUAGAAGUGCUGUCGGGAGAUGAAGGUGUUGUAACGCCUGUUCUCUCCCUCAGGAGUGAAAGGGAGAGGUGGCAAGUGGCCAAAGGUAGGCUGGACCCACCUACCACCUGGCAGUCUGCUGUGUUAGCAUACAACUCUCUGUGCGUGCGUGUGCACUCACAUACAUGUUAGGUAGGAGGGAAAGGCUUGUGGGAGACAACCCUGGAAGGGACACAUAUGAGAAGGUUGCAUGUUUUGCCCAGCGGGUCAGGGAACUAUCAACCUCGUCACUCACUUCCUCUUUUCUGUGUGGAGAUGUUCAGGUCUAGAAAGAAUUCACUCUCAGAGAAAUGAAGAUAAGAAGCAGCAACAAACAGCACCACAGGCAUAAAGGAGAAGAAUUGCUCGUAUCUCUGCAUCCCACAUCCUGAAGAGAAUCUAAUAUUUGUCCCAUCCAAGCAUCUGAAAAUGCAGGCAGGAGUGACACGACGUAGACGCCGAUCAUGCAGUUUUGAAUGAGUUUGUGUUUGAGGCUGUGAUAGCCCCAGAGGACUCCCGGGUUCUCUACAUACAUCUCCAGGCACUGUCUGCCUGAACACCGCCUGCUGCCGGAGAGGCUCUGUCCUUGGCCAGAUGGAGCUCCCUGCCAGCGACUGAACCCCAAUCAUUAAUAGCAGCUGCAGACCCCAGGAGCUCCCUGCAAAAGCAGGAAUGCCAGUUGCAAUGAGAAACUUUCCACUGCCUACAACUAAAGGGAGAGAAACUACACUGGAAUGUGAAGAUGGAGAAACUGCUCUGAGACAGGCCACAAUAGCAUCUGGAACCUCCUGUGAUCAGCUGCCAGGAUCCUUUAAUGAGAGUUUGUGUGUUCCUUGAUGUCUCCUGGGAGUCGCUCAAGAGAAAGGAGAUGUUAGCCAAGAUGGGAUUUUCCCAAAAGAAUUCUUUAGAAAAGUGCCAGAACCUUUACCUUCCACCUUGAUAGUCCCCAGAGACAAACUGAAAGGACCUCGCUUAAUGUCUCAUCUGAAGGGUAUUUGCAAUGCUGGCUUCAUCAUUCAAAGCAGGAAAGGCCUUUGUCAUGGUCAGAUGGCUUUAAUGUGUUCUGAAUGCUACAUAAAUUCAAACUUGAUGGCUCAUUUAUUUGUUGGAUUGAAGUUUUAUACAAUAAACUAAGCCUUGGUAUUUACUAAUAA